ACAGAGACGCUCCGCAACUCUAAACAGUUUCCAUGCAGCGAGUCAGAAGUCGACGACAAAACACAAGUCUGCUCGUCUCCAGAGAUAAAAACAGGAAGGAAGGGGGCGAAGCUUGGAUGGGCUGAGGACUCGCAGAGGAGUCCACCAGAUGCAUAAACGCUCAAUGUCUGUGAGGUGGCCCAGGCCCGGGCCAAGUCUCUCUGAGGGGAGGGGAGGCCGAAGGUAAAGACUGAGCGAGGCCAUGGAUGCAGCAGCACGUCUCCACAAUUCAAGGACCGAGUGAGGAAUGACCCGAUGCCACGGAGCGGGAAGACAUUCGGUGGUAAAAAUAAGAAAAC